rnacentral:piRNA from 1 species
UUUUUAUCAUGUGUGCAUAAAAUUGGUGCAA